rnacentral:tRNA from 2 species
GCCCCAUUCGUCUAGCGGUCAGGACGUGGCCCUCUCAAGGCCAAAACAGGGGUUCGAUUCCCCUAUGGGGCAC